UACCAGACUCCUACGGGAGGCAGCAGUGAGGAAUAUUGGUCAAUGGGCGGAAGCCUGAACCAGCCAAGUCGCGUGAGGGAUUAAGGCCCUAUGGGUCGUAAACCUCUUUUGUCAGGGAGCAAUGGCGUCCACGUGUGGGCGUAUGGAGAGUACCUGAAGAAAAAGCAUCGGCUAACUCCGUGCCAGCAGCCGCGGUAAUACGGAGGAUGCGAGCGUUAUCCGGAUUUAUUGGGUUUAAAGGGUGCGCAGGCGGCGUGUCAAGUCAGCGGUAAAAUGUCGGGGCUCAACCCCGGCCGGCCGUUGAAACUGGCGUGCUCGAGUUGGAGAGAAGUAUGCGGAAUUCGUGGUGUAGCGGUGAAAUGCAUAGAUAUCACGAAGAACCCCGAUUGCGAAGGCAGCAUACCGGCUCCACACUGACGCUGAGGCACGAAAGCGUGGGUAUCGAACAGGAUUAGAUACCCCCGUAU
rnacentral:rRNA from 1 species